rnacentral:lncRNA from 1 species
AGGGACCCUAGCCGUGGAGUCUGUAGGCAUGACACAGGCUCGAAGGCCGGUGAUCAGGAGAAAUGCUAAACUGAGAAAAGAAUCGUCCAGCUGUCGUGCAUUACAUGUGUACUAAAUACCGGAUCUGAGCCCAGCCCUGAGAGGGUUAGUUACGGGGUGGUUAAAAGAACAGGGAGUCAGGUGAUCUGGCUUCAAGUCUCCAGGCUCCGCUUUUCCUCCCUGUGUUACCAUCAUUAAAUCUUCCCAAUUUUUAGUCCCCUGGCUUGUAAAAUGCAGGUUCCAAUCGUGCUUUCCUCAAGUGGCUGGGUAGGGGUUCAAUGAGAUAACGGGCGUGAAGUCCUUAGCCCAGUGCCCAGUGCCCAGAAAAUGCUCUGCAGUGUUAGCUGUCCUUACUGUUCACCUGCCUCUUCUCGUUUAACCCUCACCACAAUCCCAGGAGUUGGGUGCUACUGUCCUCUAUUUAUAAGUCAAACUGAGGCUCCAAGGGUAAAUCACUUGUCUAAGGUCCCAGAAAGGGAGCAGUGGGGCUGGCCCGGUCAGACUAGAAAUCCCAACAUCUUUGUUUUCUUCACUUUCGGAGAAGCUGGUCAAAGGCACCAGGUUAAGUGCAUCUCAUGCCAUGACGGUCUUCUUCUUGUCCCUAUUACUACACCUUCUCAUCUGUUGAAGAUUUGAGGUCUGGGGUCGUCUCUGACCCUGAAUGCAGCUGGUGAGAGCAUCGGUAUGGCUCCUCUGGGGACCUGCAGCUUCACAGAGUUGACACGGUUUAUGAAACGUCCAUUCUGAUUUGCAAAUAGGUCUGACACGGACACACGUCCAGCUGGCCGGUGAUUUCGAUAACAACCCCUCCUCCUUGGUGCCAAUUACCAGAAAUUAAAUGUCCCUGGCACACUUUGUGAUUCGGAAAUUCAUGUGCUGAUUAGUUAAACCCCUGCUGGACAUGCCAUCAUGACCAAGGGGCUCCCUGCCAACGUCCUAGCUCUCACUCCCUCUCCAUCUAAAGUCACAGGAUGUUUUCUUCCCGGGCAGCAAGCAGUGUCGCCUCACUCACUGACUCAUUCAUUUUCAUUCAACAAAUACUGAUUGGGCAUCCACAGUUGGGAUACAGCAGAGAACAAAGCAAGUCGUGUUCCUGCCUUCACGAAGGGGAAUAAAUAGGAAAUGAUUAAACACACAGGACUGUUUCUACAUGACGUGUUAGGAAGGAAACAAAGAAGUGGGACAAAGGAACGGCUAGGGUACAAACGCGGCGUUGGGUAGAGUGGCCAGGAAGGUGAGAUUUCAACUGAGAUUUGAAGACUGAGAUAGAAUCAGACAUGCAUUGUGCUGAGAUGGUUAGGAAUGAGCUCACCACGUCAAGGAAAUUCAUUCACUUUUCAAACAUUUUUGAUCGUACAAUCAAUAUGUGUUGAAAGAACAAGUGGGGAAUAGAUGAAUCCUCUUUUUUUUUUCUGCCAAGAAGGACCUUCACAGAAGAUGUAACCAGCUUAGAGGCAAGUUCCUUCCCUUGGCGCCAGCCCCGUUUCCCACCUCUCAGGCCAGGGGCUGGGCUCAGGCACUAGCGUUCUGGGACUGGAGGACCUUCAGACCGCACCUUCCGCAGAGACCGACCCUCACAGCUCUUUAGCCGUGACUCUGCAGCAAGCAGAAAGCAAUCGCAUUUUCCUAAGCGGUCAAAAUGGUUGUUUGGAAUUGUGUAGACAAGGCGCGAAGUGUCAGCUGCUUUGUUGUCAUUAGGAUACAUGUAUUGAAUUUCCAUGCCCGCUUACUCAAUUCGAGAGUCCUUAUUAGUUGUGUGUCUCCCUCCCUCCCUCCCUCUUCUCCUCCCGCAGCUCCGUCACCCUCUUCUGCUCAUCUUUCUCUGGCUCAGCAGUGAAGAGCCUAGGCUACAGAAUCAGAACACCGGGUUGUAUCUCAAGUGGGACCCUCUGUGUGACUUUGGCCAUGUCCAUUCCCCUCGCUGAGUCUCAAUUUUCUCAUCUAUAUAAUAGGAAUAAUAGUAAUAGAGGCCGUCUUUUGACAAUCAUAUAAAGUACUUACUGAGUUAUUAUUAUCCUUAUUUUGUGGAUUAGGAUGUACAAUUUAAAGAAGUAGAUUGAGGUUUUGAAGGCAAGAGAAAGGAGUAAUAGGUAUAACCUUGAGCAAGUUUAAUGAUCUGUAUCUACCUAUGGGGUUUUCCAUUCAUUGAGAUAAUCAAGAAACAGGAUCAUAAUAAAUAGUCUCCUAAUUUGUAAUACUUUUGAGCCAACAGCGAUAGAGAGAACCUGUGCCGUGUGCCAGAUAUUCUUCUAUGUGCUUUACCUAUAUUGACUAACUUUUCAAAUCUCACAACCAUACAAAGUAAAUACUAUUCCUAUGCCCAUUUUACAGAUAAGGAAACCAAGACCUAGAGAGAUUACAUCGUGUCCACAGGGUCACAUAGCUGGGACUUGGUGGAGUUUGGGAAUAAACCCGGGCAAACUGACUCCCGGGUCUGCUGCUUGCCUCCUCAUUUAAGAUGAGACACAAAAGCUUUCCUGCAAAUAUCAGAGUUUUCUACUUCAAAUAGACCUGCCUUCUGAGUGCUCAGUAAACAAAGAAUUAUUACCCGCCUAAUCCUGAAACCCCUGGCCUGUAGACACAGGACUGAUGAGGGCAGUACCCAGUACAGCAAAACACCAGCCAUAGGUAAAUUCACAUCUCCUGGCACUGAUGGGAUUUCCGGGUGUCUAUUAAAACGUCAGCAGAUCUUAGAGGCCAAGUCCUUUCUACAUCAUUUAGCACAAGCCAGAAGGUCAGAUUCAGGUGGCAGCCAGCCUUCCCUUGGCAAUUUCUUCCUCAUGACUACUCUGCCCCUACACCCACUCUCAGAAAUGCUACAGCACAAUAAACGUAGUUAAAGAGAUAACAAACCACCACUACCCUCUUGAGAUCCAAAAGCAGUCGUCUCAAAUCCCCUUGCCUCCAGUCUUAGAGGGAUAUGCCCCCAGCUGCUGACGCCAGGCCUGCUGUGUAGAUCAAAGCAGCCUUGUCUGGGCCCACUGUCAUAGCAACAGUGGAUCCAUCUCCAAAGGCUCAUGCCCAGCAUCAGCCCUGGCACGAGAAAGAGAAGCAGACUAUGCCUAACACAGGUGCCUUCCUUUUAAAGGGCUACAAGUUGUCAACAGCAGGCUGAAACUCCUGCCUGUGUUUGGGGUGUACAAUGGAAGCAGCAUGACUCCAAAUCCUGCCUGACUUACUGUCUCGACAGGACGUAGAAUGCAUCCUAGUAUUCGCAGACUUCGGGUUCAUGCCUGCUUCUCCUGCUGAGCAGGAAGCUGCCACCUGGAGUCUCUGAUGGCUCUGCUUGCUGUUGCACUAAGUGGAGCACGUCAGCAAAGGAGUAAGUCCUGCUCAGCCCCGGCAGGCCCUGAGGUGUGGAGGGGCUCCCUUCCGAGCCCACACGUGGCUGUCUGCUUGAAAGGUCAGGCUCCUUCGUUAUACUCAGGCUCUGUAGCACGCACCAAACGUCUGCCUUUGGUGAGUGGGGGUUCGGGUUAGACUCCCCAUGGCAGUGCUUCCCAGAAACUUUGCCCUCAAGAUCCAACAGCCUCCAUAAACGAGGCUGUGAAAGUCGUUAAAGUUUCCCCAGAGAAAACUGACCUGGGAAAUCAGCAUGAGUCCUCAGAUAGAAAAGAAAUCAGGCUUCAAAUGAAGGAAAUUGGACAGAAGAUGGAAAAUUUCCCCUCCUCCUUACUUCCUGUCUUACUGUUUUACUGGGAACUAGCUUGUGGACAAACUCAGAGCCUGGUCUUUUAGAAGGCAAGUCUUUCUAAAUGUUCCUGGACCAAUUUCCCAUCAUCCUUUUAGUGUUCUCCUGUCCCCUUUCAGCAUGGCCAGCUGGAAUUCAUUUGUACUCACAAGGGCCAAGAGCCAAGCCCUGGCAGCAAAGUCAGAGAGAGUAGCCAGCUCCUGUGGUGCCCAUCCCAACCGCCUGCCCUCACCUGGACAAGAGGCAGCUGGAAAUGUUGGCUGCACUUCUUUCUGAGCAUCCUCAGCCUCGGGAGGAGAAAAGACGCCAGGGGCUGGGCAGGGAGGGAGGACUUUGGUUUCAUGUGUGGGGAUGGUAAGGAUGCAGGUCACGUUUGGAAAUUAAAAUAUUUGAGGCCUUGGAGAAAUUCUGGGGGCUUGUGAAUUUUAACUUUAUUUUUUAAAUAAUUUCAAACUUCCGGGAGUUCCUGUCAUGGCUCAGUGGUUAAUGAAUCCGACUAGGAACCAUGAGGUUGCAGGUUCGAUCCCUGGCCUUGCUCAGUGGGUUAAGGAUCCAGCGUUGCCGUGAGCUGUGGUGUAGGUCGCAGACGUGGCUCGGAUCCCACAUUGCUGUGACUCCGGUGUGGGCCGGUGGCUACAGCUCUGAUUAGACCCCUUGCCUGGAAACCUCCAUGUGCCGCAGGAGCGGCCCUAGAAAAGGCAAAGAGACAAAAAAAAAAAAAAUAAUACGGNAACUUCCAGAAAUGUUGAUAAAACUAGGUUCCUUAGAUAUUAAUAUUUUACUAUGUUCGUCUUGAUCCCUUUAUUUAUAUAUGUGUAUAUAAUGUUAAAAUUUAGUAUAAAAAAUAUAUAUAAUUUUUCUGAACCAUUUGAGACUAAGCUAAAAAUAAAAGGCAUGCUAUUAACUAGCCUAAAAAUGCUAUCCAAUGGCAUGCUAUUUUUUUCGAUUGUCCUAUUCCUUUCCUUUAUAGAGGAAAAAAGAUGUAAUGUCUUAUCUAGAUCCCAUCCAGGACCAUGUUCUGCAGCUGUCAUACCUCUUUAGUUUCUUUUAAUGCGAAACAGUUCCUCGAGAUUCACUAUCUUCAUGAUCCUGGCACUUCAAAGGAUAUACAGGCCAUUUACUUUAUAGAAUGUCUAUUAGGGUUUCUCUUUAAUUUCUUCACCACCAGAUUCAGAUUUUUCAUUUGGGGUAGUAAUGGAUGAAAUCGUUACCAAUAACCAAAUAGGAAUCCCUAAGCCCAUGCUCUAUAAAUGAAGAAAUAGGGGAAAGGAAAAUUUCUUCCUUAUAGUAGAAUGCCAACUAAAAAAUGUGGAUGGAAUUAUGGAAUUUUUAAAAGUCACCAUUGGGGAGUUCCCACUGUGGUGCAGUGGGUUAAGAAUCCACUUGCAGCGGCUCAGGCCACAGCUGAAGCUCAGAUUGAAUCCUUGGCCCAGGAACUUCCAUAUGCUGUGGGUGUGGCCAUAAAAUUAAAACAAAAACAACAGUGGGUGAGGAGUUCCCUGGUGGCCUAGUAGUUAAGGAUCCAUGUUGUCACUGCUGUGCCUUGGGUCAUUGCUAUAGUGCAGGUUUGAUCCCUGGCCAGGAACUUCUGAAUGUCAUUGGCAUGGCCAAAAACAAAACUAGAGAGUGAAAGCUUGAAGAGCUCAGAGCGUCUCCUCUAAAGAUACUUAUUGAUCACAAAGGGGGAAAUGGCAAUUUACAGUAGAGAAACCAGGUAGGCAAAAGACCAAAGUUGGCAUCAUGAGUAAUGAGGAAACAGUGUGUCCCACCCAAUAUGAUGGACUGAGAACACCACACCUCUUCUGUGAAAUAAAAGACAAAGUCCUGCCCAAAGGACUUAAGAUUGUCAAGAGCUAUCGUACUAAUGAGGCUGCAUUCACACACAACAGAUUCUGGAAUGCUUUUCACCUUCACAGACACCCCCACCACCACCCGGAAAUCUUCCCAGGAGGCACAGGCAACAACAAAACACUGAAGAGAACAAAUCAGAUGCUUGGGAUGAACACGCACAGUGCAGAGCUGUGUACUGGGUGAAACUCCUUGGACAUUGGUGAUGGUACAGGAAUACCAAAAGGCUAGCCUCCAAGUCAGAAGGGGCAAUAGGAGAAGAAGCAAAUCGGUCUUCCCACAGCAUCAGUGCAUGGGGUACCAGGUUGGAGAAAAGCACACGAGUCAUGUGCUGUUACAGGUUACACCAGACCCUCAGCCAUCCUGUUAUUCUGUUCUGCUGUCAAAGCUGAACUUUAUCCUGCCAAUUUCUCACACCUUGGCACCUAACUGAUAAAUGCAGACUGGACAUCAAACACCUCCCAGCCUCCCAGCGCUGUGUCUGGUCCAUCUCUCCAGCUCAAAUUUAGAGCAGUGCAGGGGAGGGCAUAAUAUCCUCCUCUCAGGUGUUCAGUGGAAGAGGCUGGAGCUUCUUAAUAAUGCCCACAGCCCUCAUGCUCUCUCCCGAUGUCCUCAUGCUCUUUUCUGAUGCCUUCAUGCACCUUGUAUCCCUCUGCCCUAUCCAUGUUCUUUUUCCUUCCAAUUCCACUCCGUCUUUCUGCCCUGAUGCUUUCUGAUCCAGAGGGGUUUUGGUGGAAUAUACCGAUCAAGGAAAUAAGGACUUAGUACAUAAAGAAUCUCAGAC